UAAACAGAGCGCAUUUGAAAACUAAAUCUAAAAUCUGUUGCCAAAUUGAGAUCUGUCGCCAAAAUAGUAUGCCAUACGCAGCAUGCGAAACAGUGACGUCAUUUUCGACCAAUAGCGUGAUCCGGCUGAAGUGAGGAUUAAUCGUUCGUUAAAAUCCCGUCAGAUGGCGAUAAAAUUUCAACAGCAAAAGGUGAAUUGAAAAUCUGGCAACAGAUAAAUAUUUAUAUGAAGUUCAAAUUUGCUUUCAAUCUAAGUUAAUCUGACUUGUAACUCAACCUUCUUAUAUUAAAUUAAUUGUAGUGAUUUGGUUAACUAUAAUUUGGUUUACAGAGCAUUAUUACCUCAUCUCAGGGUAUGUAUAUAAGUCUCUUGUGUGAUAUCUUUAUAAACGGACAAAUGAGCAACUUUGAAUUAACUGGAGGAAUGACUAACUUUGAAGUAGAAGAUGUAGUGAAUUCAAUUGUCAACACAACAGGUUUUUGAAUAAGAUGACAGAAAGACUUCUUCAAAGAUCUGCUCACAUCAAGUUAUUAAGAAGGGCUUCGAGGAUCACCUCCACCUGAGAAAAGACGUGGAUGCCUGUGGUGAUGUAGCUUCUUAAAAAAGAAGUGUUGAUGUCAAAACUCCUCCACUCAAAAAGCCCAGAACAGAAGAUCGAAAAUAGUUUUGAUGAUCCCAGAGCAAAAAGUUUCUCUGCUCUAGAGCCUCGUCGAAUCCAACGUUUACGAUAUAAACAGUUACCAACUCCUAUUCAGGGCGCAAUUAAAUAGGAUUCGCACUCUACUGUGGUGUUAAGAACUAUCCAGUGGAGAGUAUGUGGUGGCAUAGAUUGCCUAGUCCUGUGUAGCCAUUUUUAUAUCUGUGAUUGCCAGGAUAAAUUUUUGCUUUGUAAGCAUAUUCAUAAAGUGCAUUCAAUAAAUUUUAAAACUUUUGACUACCAGAAGGAUUGCCUUACAAUUUUGUGCUGUUCCUUUAAUGAAACUGUGAAACGAUAAGAAUCUAUCAAAUUUUUAUUCAUAUACAUUACAGACAUUCAUAUCAUUUACAGACAAAGGCAUUUCUGAAAGUAAACAAUAUAUUUCUCAGCUAACUGAUUUUCUUGAAGAUGAGAAAGUGCAAAACAUUUUGUUGCCAAAUAUUAUUCAAAAUUUAUUAUGGUAUAUCAAAAGUAGUUUAUGUACCAUCUGGUAUUAAUUUUACAGUUCUUCCUAAUGCUUAGUUAGAAAAACAGGAUUUCAUUAAGUAAAAAGUGAAUAUAAUGGAGUUUCAUUUUUGGAAAUUAAGUCAUUAGCUGUUUUUAUUCAUAAAAGAGAAGAUAAAUGCUUAAAAACAGUGGAUAAAAAUUUUAAGGAGAGGUUGGCCGUAUGACAGUAUUAUUAUUGCAUUUAUUUCAAAACUAUCUUCAAGUCCUAAUAAUUUACCUGCACUUUGCUCCCACCGCUCGAUAUUAUGUCUAAUGGAUCAUGGAUCUCUUCUGAAUUAUUAGAGCAGUUAUUUGAGGCAAAUAAAAUUUUUAUUCCUGUAAAUUAAGAAAAUCAUUGGAAAAGAAAAAAUAGAGAACUCUAUAAGCAUCACUAGGCAUGAUAUCAAAAUUUACCAGUAACUUGGCAUUUUAGUAAAUAGGCUGUUUCUUUAAUUCAUUAAUUGCUAUUGCCCCUAUUAAGCAUCAUUGCCGACAAUAAUAGCAUGUCACUUGUUUAUGAUUAAUCUAAACGAACAAGUACCUGAACUCCAUGAAUGUUGUUUUUUAUUAUGUAACUUAUUUUGUACUACACUCUACAACAAAAAAAUUGACGCACCAAGAAGCAAUAAUCUGAUUGCUUUGAAAUUUCGUAUGCAUGAAUGAUGCCAACUGGGGACAUAUAGUCUUCAGUGACGAAUCCCGCUUCCAAGUGUGUCCUGACAAUCAUCGGAGGCGCACAGGGCAGAGGGGGAUCCUGCCUUCACUAUUGCACGCUACACCGGCCCUCAACAAGGCAUUAUGGUCUGGGGUGCCAUUUCCUUUGACAGCCGGACCCCUUUGGGUCGUCAUUAGAGGUACACUUACUGCAUAGCGGUACCUCGACGACAUCCUAAGACCUGUUUUGCUACCGUUCCUUUUGAAGCGCCUUGGGCUGGUUUUUCAGCAUGACAAUGCCAGACCACAUACGGCGCGUGUUGCUGUGAACUGUCUGCAAGCUUGUCGCACUCUUCCUUGGCCUGCCAGAUCACCAGAUCUCUCUCCCAUCGAGCAUGUCUGGGAUAUGAUGGGAAGGCAAUUGCACCUGGCACGGAAUGUUGAUGACCUCGUUCGACGAUUGGAUUGAAUUUGUCAGGAAAUACCGCGAGAGACCACCCGAGAGCUUUAUCGGUCUAUGCCAAGCCGUCUGGUAGCGGGUCAACACCUUAUUGAACUUGUUACUGUAACUCUGCAAUAAAUUAUUCAAUUGUUCUUACAUUUUAAUCAUUUACUAUUCUGUACAUUGUCUUCCUAUCCACCAAUUUUCGUUUCAAUCGGACAACUCCUUCUUGGUGCAUCGAUUUUUUUUUUGUUAUAGAGUGUAUUUCAAUAUACAUCUUAACUUAAAUGAAUUGGGCAAUGGCGUUAAUAAUUUGACGCAGAAUUUAUAUUACGCAUAUUUUUCAUGUUUUUUUUUUUUUUUUUUUAAAUUUCUUUGUAUUCAUUUAGGUCAGAUUGAGUGAAAAAUAUUAUAUUUAGCAUUUUAAUAAUAUAUGGUAACCAAAUACAACCUGAAACACCGUGUCUUUUUCUGUGUAAAAGGUAAAGUCUUUCAAACGUGGCUCACUUCCAAAAAAUAAUUUUACGGAUAGGCAGUUAUUUAGAUCUUUGCGAAACAGUUAUUCAUCAUUGAAGCAUUUUGAAUUUGCAAAAUCAAUUAUUAAGAAAUUUUUAAAUAUAAAUCAAAAAUUUUUUUUUUUUUUUUUUUUUCAGACUAUUUUGGAUUUCAUAUUUUAGUAAAAAAAAAUUCCGUAAUCUAACAGAUUUCUGUUUAUAUGAAAUACGUAACACUCUGUUUACAUAUUUCGUGUGAUUUGUAAUGUUAUGUCAUAAUUAAUUAAAAACUUGUAUGGAAUACCUGCAUUAAAAUGAUUAAUAUUAUAAAAGA